rnacentral:rRNA from 1 species
AUUGAACGCUGGCGGCAUGCCUAACACAUGCAAGUCGAACGGUAACGCGAGGAGCUUGCUCCUUGGCGACGAGUGGCGGACGGGUGAGUAAUACUUGGGAAUCUGCCCAGUAGUGGGGGACAACAUUCGGAAACGGAUGCUAAUACCGCAUACGCACUACGGUGGAAAGUGGGGGAUCUUCGGACCUCACGCUAUUGGAUGAGCCCAAGUCGGAUUAGCUUGUAGGUAGGGUAACGGCCUACCUAGGCGACGAUCCGUAGCUGGUCUGAGAGGACGAUCAGCCACACUGGGACUGAGACACGGCCCAGACUCCUACGGGAGGCAGCAGUGGGGAAUAUUGGACAAUGGGCGCAAGCCUGAUCCAGCAAUGCCGCGUGUGUGAAGAAGGCCUGCGGGUUGUAAAGCACUUUCAGUAGAGAAGAAAAGCCUAGGGUUAAUACCCCUGAGUCUUGACGUAACCUACAGAAGAAGCACCGGCUAACUCCGUG